GCCACCGGACUUGUCACCGACCUCAACAAACAAACACAAGAAAAGAGUACAGCACCGCAAUUUUCGAUGUCGCAAUUUGCUGUCGCAUUGAAACCUCAUGUGUUUACUGGACUGCACUUUAAGAGAUGGCAGUAUAAAUGUCAUAUGUGGCUCGUGGCUAUGGGCGCAUGAUGGGCGGUACAACACGGGAAGACUCAAACAAUUGCUUCUCAGUAGUUGUAUGUUGAGGCUUGUGUUGUAGUCAUCGGUGCGAUCUGUAGUGUGCUGGGAGAUAAGCUCGUUGAUCCUGCACUAUCAGGAUGCCAAAGAGUUGUGGGAUGCGCUCAAUGCUAAGUUUGGCGUAUCUGACGCUGGCAGUGAGUUGUACGUCAUGGAGCAGUUCUUUGACUAUAAUAUGGUUACAAACCGAUCUGUAGUGGAACAAGCUCAUGAGUUACUGACUAUGGCUAAGGAACUUGAGCAAUUCAAGUGUCCACUACCCGACAAGUUUGUCGCCGGGGGCAUCAUCGCCAAGCUUCCUCCCUCCUGGAGGAACUUUGCUACUUCACUAAAACAUAAGAGACAAGAAAUCUCUGUGGAGGACCUGAUUGGAACUCUUGAUGUUGAGGAGAAGGCGAGAGCAAAAGAUGUUGGCCCAAAGGCAACACACAAGAGGAUACGUCCACUGCCAACAUGGUUCAAAGAAACAACCACAACAACAAUAACAACAAGGGAAAGGGAAAAGCAUUCAACAAUGCUGGUCCAAAGAACACUACAACUUUCAAGAAGAAGAAGAAAGGAGGCAACAAGGACAAGGAUCCUUGCUUUGUGUGCGGAGGACUUGGCCAUUGGGCGAGUAACUGCAAGGAGCGCAAAGGAGGACAGAUUCGGCAAAAGUUUGCUAAUUUGAUGGCAACAAUGAAGAUGCAGGCAGGCCAUCAGCUCCUUAGUGACGAUGGGGAACGGCGCCCAUGCUUCUGUUCAGGGUGUUGGCACGGUGGAUCUGAAGUUUACUUCGGGAAAGAUCGUGCAGCUGAGGAACGUGCAGCAUGUGCCCUCCAUUCAGAAGAAUCUUGUUAGUGGAUCCCUCCUGUGCAAGGACGGAUUUAAGUUAGUGUUUGAGUCCAAUAAAGUUAUUUUGUCUAAGUAUGGACAAUUUAUUGGUAAAAGUUAUGAGUGCGGAGGCUUGUUCCGCUUAUCCCUUUCGGAUUUUUGUAAUAAGGUCAUGAACAGCGUCAAUUUUAUUAAUAAUGAGUCUAAUGUUUGGCAUU